CCGGGGGGUCGGGAGCGAGAGGAGCCCGGGCCGAGUCACCUGCACUCGUGCCUGCUCGGGUCAUGUUUUGUAGUCUGAAAGAGCCAGAAAAUGUCUGCAGAGCCCCUGAUUCUUCUGUGGAGGUCUAAAGACUCCUUGGGGGGUUAUGCAGGGAAGCGGGGCAGAGCGGGAGGAGGCUGGAAGGUGAGGCCUGAGCUGGCCUGAAGCAGCCUAGUGGAGGGGGACGAGGUGAGUUGAAGUCUCUGGAAAAGAGCCCGACACAUCGAUGUUUCCGCAUGUUUUCUGCUGAUUCUUGCUUGCUCCUUGUUCUUGGGUCCGGUGCUGGGUGCUCCCCUUGCCACAGGGGCCAUGGAGAGCCUGGUGUAGAAAUGGUUCUGUGCCGCACGGGCGGUGCAGGGGUUUGUGUUGGUGAGCAUGGUCUGUGUGGAGAACAGCAAGGACUCUUACUGCCCUAGGAGCCAGAAAUCUGUGGGAUUUCUUUAGUCUUCAGUAAAGAUCUUCAGUGAGUUACCUACUGUAGGAGUCGGGAUAUCAGCAGCCUCCAAAGUCUGGAAAGGUUUGUAUGUUGGGUUGAGAGGAGUCAUCUUGUGUAUCACAUUAUCUUACCACAGCUGGAAUAUCUGCUAGGAGGCAGAAGAGCCCUCCCAGGCAGAUCACCUGCUGAAUUUAAUAAGCACAUGUGAAUAACAAAGAUUGACCAGAAAUAUUUUCACUCAUAUAAGCAUUCUUUCAUACUAACUAUAGUAACAAUAGCCGUGUACAAAGUGGAAUCAAACCUUUGGACAGUGCUGUUUCAAUAGGGGCCUUCAGAAAAACCACUUCCAAUGUGAUGAAAGAGAAACUGCUCAAAAAUGCAUUCAGGAAUACCUACAACUCCGUAUGGAUACCUAAUGAAAAUAUAUUAGAAUUAACUGCAAAUUGAGCAAGUAGCAAAAAAAAGCUUGAUGAACUGACUGUAACAAAAUAUCCAGUGAUGAAAAGCUCUGCAGACUUCUGCUUGCCAGCACUGGCAAGAAAGUAGUUUAGCUAAAUAGAAGGAAAGCAGAAGAUACAGCUAUCAACUGCAAACGAAUGAUUAUAAACCAGCAAGAAAAUGUGAGGAAGAGCUCUGAAAAUGAUGAUUGACAGUGACAACACAGACCAGACAGCUUUUAUUUUAAGCAACAGAUUGUUGGGAACAUACACCAUAUAUCAAAGUGAAGGACUUGAAACCUGCUGUAGUCUGUACAGAUGUUCUCACUCAGAAAGCAGCUAGAGGGAACAGAAGAUAAAAGAAAGCUGUCCAACUUCAAAAAGGUUUGAAUUUUCAUUCUGUUUUGACAAGUUUUUGUGCUAGUCUCUGAUUUUCAGCGUGAUAGAAAAUUCAGCAUCUACAAACCUGACCUAAAGUGAGAAACACCUGAAGGGGUACAAGCAAACCCUUAGGAAGGUGCUCUAAAACAUCAUGAAAUAUUUUUUGUUGUUUUAAUCUUAAAUGCUUUUAUAUUGAAGGAGGCAGAAAUUGGAAAUGGUGUAACUGUUGUAGCUCUGGAGCAGGUCAUACGUGCGUGCAGUACCUGGAAUGGAAGGCUGAGAUCUGAGAGGCAAUUUAGGAAUCCCUGCUGCAGGAGAGAGUUUUUUAUGAUACAAAGCAAGACAGGAUUACUGAGCUCAGAAGGGUUAUUUGUGAAUAACUUCCAGCUAAAGUGAUUAAGGGCUUCAGCCACUAGCCCCAGAAAAACAAUAAAGAGCAUCAAAAACAUCCUGCUUGUCAUUGCUGCUGGCUUUUUGUUCAGUGAGCAAGAGGUCUGUGUUGGUUUUGGUCCUUUGCCCAUGGGGACACUUUUAACAAAACAUAGUACUUGAAAGAAUUCCAGAAUGUGUUUGUUGUUUUUUUCUUUUCUUUGAACUUCGAGGUUAAAGAUAAAUAAAGGAGUAUUUUGAUAUA